ACUUAGGAUAAAAAUUUAAACCAAGGGCCUUCAAAGCCCAAAAUAGGGAUUACACCCCUAGUUUCUGCACUAAGGCUUG
rnacentral:tRNA from 1 species